rnacentral:lncRNA from 1 species
AUUGUAUGUUACUGCCAAAUAUUUUUCUUAUAGAUUUCUGAAUUGUUCAACGUUCUGUUGAAUGCCUGAGACAACUUACAAUGAAUCAACAAAAUUAAGAAAUGGAGACAUUAAGACGCUCCAUAAAACCAGAAUAGGAAUAAAGAGGAUUUCCAGAGCUGCAAAUAUGAGGUUUGGCCCAUUCCUGGUCAAUAAGAUAAGAGGGUGAAUUUUCUCCAUGAGCUUUUCCUGAGUCCCAAGAUUCACAUCACCAGAAGGCUGUUUGAGAUGCACAAAUCCCAGGAGGAAGCAGGUCAAGAUGGGAAGUCUCAAAAACAUUCCAGAAGAAAAAAAAAGUGGCAAAGUGUUUCUGCACAGUUGCAUGGAAAAACUUCAAAGACAGCUCUCCAUGAAGAUACCAAGAGUUUAACUUGAU